AGAGUUUGAUCCUGGCUCAGAACGAACGCUGGCGGCGUGCCUAACACAUGCAAGUCGAACGGAAUUAGAGAGCUUGCUCUUUAGUUUAGUGGCGCACGGGUGAGUAACGCGUAGAUAAUCUGCCUGAUGAUCUGGGAUAACACUUCGAAAGGGGUGCUAAUACCGGAUAAGCCCACGAAGUCUUCGGACUUUGCGGGAAAAGGGGGGGACCUUCGGGCCUUCUGUCAUCAGAUGAGUCUGCGUACCAUUAGCUAGUUGGUAGGGUAAUGGCCUACCAAGGCUACGAUGGUUAGCUGGUCUGAGAGGAUGAUCAGCCACACUAGAACUGAGACACGGUCCAGACUCCUACGGGAGGCAGCAGUGGGGAAUUUUGCGCAAUGGGCGAAAGCCUGACGCAGCAACGCCGCGUGAGUGAUGAAGGCUUUCGGGUCGUAAAGCUCUGUCGAGGGGAAAGAAGUGCAUUGUGGCUAAUAUCCACGAUACUUGACGGUACCCCUAAAGGAAGCACCGGCUAACUCCGUGCCAGCAGCCGCGGUAA
rnacentral:rRNA from 1 species